AUAUAUAUAUAUAUAUAACAAUAUUAUAUUGUGAUGAUAUUAUUUUAAUAUUGGAGAUCUAUAUUACUAAUAUUAGGUCUUCGAAUAAAGCGUUAUAAAUUGCGUAGCAGUAAUCAACGGUUCAUGCAAGUUUUACUUAACUCUACUAAGAGUUGUUUCAUUCGGUUAUGCUUAUGGAUAGUCAUUGCUGAUUGCCAUUGUAGAAUUGUACUCUGUACAUAUUGGAUGUAUAAGUCAGGUAUGAAAGGCUGAUCACCUUCAUUACCAUUCGGUCCAGAUAUAUUUGUUCAUAUUUAAUACUUGUUCAGUCAAAAGUUUGUUCGUGCUAGUUCGCAAUUAUAUUGUUGAAUUAUAGCCAUCUUAUUAUUCGAAUCCUUUCAAUCAUGAUAUAUCGUUAAAUUAUUGAACUUAAACUUUUAUGCUCACCCUUGCUAUAUCAUGAUAAACAUUGCAGAUUAAGACGAAUACGUCGGAUACAAGGAAAGGUCCAAGAUCGUUCCAGCUUUAGUAGACGCUUGCAGUUAGAUUUGUAUUGUAUGAUAUUAAUGUUAUUGUAAGUCAAGUAAGAUAUGAAUUGUGUAUUAAGUUAAGGUUACUCGACCUUGGGGAAAAAUGUGUAAGUUAUUGUAUAAACAAUUUAUAUUUAUAUAUUCCGCAAAUAUAGUAAUAGUUGUAUAGUGAUAUAAUGGUCGAACCGGAUCCGCGGUGAUUCGGGACCCGGAUUCGGGGACCUCACAAAGGUAGUUUUCUAUGGUAGCAAAUCACCUAGACAAAUGAGAUGUCUGACGAUUAUGCAGGCCAAGUAGUUGUUGAGUCAAGGCUGUGUGGGUUAUUUAGCUUACAUAGUCGAUACUCAGAAGAAGGGUGUGAAACUGGAAGAGAUACCAGUGGUUAGGGAAUUUGUAGAUGUGUUUCAAGAGAAUUUGCC
rnacentral:lncRNA from 1 species